rnacentral:rRNA from 1 species
UUAAGUUAUUAAGGGCGCACGGUGGAUGCUUUGCCACUAGAAGCCGAUGAAGGACGUUACUAACGACGAUAUGCUUUGGGGAGCUGUAAGUAAGCUUUGAUCCAGAGAUUUCCGAAUGGGGAAACCCAGCAUGAGUUAUGUCAUGUUAUCGAUAUGUGAAUACAUAGCAUAUCAGAAGGCACACCCGGAGAACUGAAACAUCUUAGUACCCGGAGGAAGAGAAAGAAAAUUCGAUUCCCUUAGUAGCGGCGAGCGAAACGGGAAGAGCCCAAAACAACAAGCUUGCUUGUUGGGGUUGUAGGACACUCUAUACGGAGUUACAAAGGACGACAUUAGACGAAUCAUCUGGAAAGAUGAAUCAAAGAAGGUAAUAAUCCUGUAGUCGAAAAUGUUGUCUCUCUUGAGUGGAUCCUGAGUACGACGGAGCACGUGAAAUUCCGUCGGAAUCUGGGAGGACCAUCUCCUAAGGCUAAAUACUCUCUAGUGACCGAUAGUGAACCAGUACCGUGAGGGAAAGGUGAAAAGCACCCCGGAAGGGGAGUGAAAUAGAACCUGAAACCGUGUGCUUACAAGUAGUCAGAGCCCGUUAAUGGGUGAUGGCGUGCCUUUUGUAGAAUGAACCGGCGAGUUACGAUUUGAUUCAAGGUUAAGCAGUAAAUGUGGAGCCGUAGCGAAAGCGAGUCUGAAUAGGGCGUUUAGUAUUUGGUCGUAGACCCGAAACCAGGUGAUCUACCCUUGGUCAGGUUGAAGUUCAGGUAACACUGAAUGGAGGACCGAACCGACUUACGUUGAAAAGUGAGCGGAUGAACUGAGGGUAGCGGAGAAAUUUCAAUCGAACCUGGAGAUAGCUGGUUCUCUCCGAAAUAGCUUUAGGGCUAGCCUCAAGUGAUGAUUAUUGGAGGUAGAGCACUGUUUGGACGAGGGGCCCCUCUCGGGUUACCGAAUUCAGACAAACUCCGAAUGCCAAUUAAUUUAACUUGGGAGUCAGAACAUGGGUGAUAAGGUCCGUGUUCGAAAGGGAAACAGCCCAGACCACCAGCUAAGGUCCCAAAAUAUAUGUUAAGUGGAAAAGGAUGUGGCGUUGCCCAGACAACUAGGAUGUUGGCUUAGAAGCAGCCAUCAUUUAAAGAGUGCGUAAUAGCUCACUAGUCGAGUGACACUGCGCCGAAAAUGUACCGGGGCUAAACAUAUUACCGAAGCUGUGGAUUGUCCUUUGGACAAUGGUAGGAGAGCGUUCUAAGGGCGUUGAAGCAUGAUCGUAAGGACAUGUGGAGCGCUUAGAAGUGAGAAUGCCGGUGUGAGUAGCGAAAGACGGGUGAGAAUCCCGUCCACCGAUUGACUAAGGUUUCCAGAGGAAGGCUCGUCCGCUCUGGGUUAGUCGGGUCCUAAGCUGAGGCCGACAGGCGUAGGCGAUGGAUAACAGGUUGAUAUUCCUGUACCACCUAUAAUCGUUUUAAUCGAUGGGGGGACGCAGUAGGAUAGGCGAAGCGUGCGAUUGGAUUGCACGUCUAAGCAGUAAGGCUGAGUAUUAGGCAAAUCCGGUACUCGUUAAGGCUGAGCUGUGAUGGGGAGAAGACAUUGUGUCUUCGAGUCGUUGAUUUCACACUGCCGAGAAAAGCCUCUAGAUAGAAAAUAGGUGCCCGUACCGCAAACCGACACAGGUAGUCAAGAUGAGAAUUCUAAGGUGAGCGAGCGAACUCUCGUUAAGGAACUCGGCAAAAUGACCCCGUAACUUCGGGAGAAGGGGUGCUCUUUAGGGUUAACGCCCAGAAGAGCCGCAGUGAAUAGGCCCAAGCGACUGUUUAUCAAAAACACAGGUCUCUGCUAAACCGUAAGGUGAUGUAUAGGGGCUGACGCCUGCCCGGUGCUGGAAGGUUAAGAGGAGUGGUUAGCUUCUGCGAAGCUACGAAUCGAAGCCCCAGUAAACGGCGGCCGUAACUAUAACGGUCCUAAGGUAGCGAAAUUCCUUGUCGGGUAAGUUCCGACCCGCACGAAAGGCGUAACGAUUUGGGCACUGUCUCAACGAGAGACUCGGUGAAAUCAUAGUACCUGUGAAGAUGCAGGUUACCCGCGACAGGACGGAAAGACCCCGUGGAGCUUUACUGUAGCCUGAUAUUGAAAUUGGCACAGCUUGUACAGGAUAGGUAGGAGCCUUUGAAACGUGAGCGCUAGCUUACGUGGAGGCGCUGGUGGGAUACUACCCUAGCUGUGUUGGCUUUCUAACCCGCACCACUUAUCGUGGUGGGAGACAGUGUCAGGCGGGCAGUUUGACUGGGGCGGUCGCCUCCUAAAAGGUAACGGAGGCGCUCAAAGGUUCCCUCAGAAUGGUUGGAAAUCAUUCAUAGAGUGUAAAGGCAUAAGGGAGCUUGACUGCGAGACCUACAAGUCGAGCAGGGUCGAAAGACGGACUUAGUGAUCCGGUGGUUCCGCAUGGAAGGGCCAUCGCUCAACGGAUAAAAGCUACCCCGGGGAUAACAGGCUUAUCUCCCCCAAGAGUUCACAUCGACGGGGAGGUUUGGCACCUCGAUGUCGGCUCAUCGCAUCCUGGGGCUGUAGUCGGUCCCAAGGGUUGGGCUGUUCGCCCAUUAAAGCGGUACGCGAGCUGGGUUCAGAACGUCGUGAGACAGUUCGGUCCCUAUCCGUCGUGGGCGUAGGAAAUUUGAGAGGAGCUGUCCUUAGUACGAGAGGACCGGGAUGGACAUACCUCUGGUGUACCAGUUGUCGUGCCAACGGCAUAGCUGGGUAGCUAUGUGUGGACGGGAUAAGUGCUGAAAGCAUCUAAGCAUGAAGCCCCCCUCAAGAUGAGAUUUCCCAACUUCGGUUAUAAGAUCCCUCAAAGAUGAUGAGGUUAAUAGGUUCGAGGUGGAAGCAUGGUGACAUGUGGAGCUGACGAAUACUAAUCGAUCGAAGACUUAAUCAA